AAUCCGAAAGCGCGAAGCAUCUGGCCAAGGAAGUGGCGUUGCAAUCGGUGGUUCUGUUGGAAAAUCGGGGCUUCCUGCCCCUCGAUUUAUCAAAGAGUCCCAGAGUCGCUGUCAUUGGUCCGACAGCGGAUGAUCAACUGGCGAUGUUUAGUGGCUACAGCUUCCCGGUCCAUUUGAUUGUCGCGAAUAUGCAGGAAGAACGGGUCCAAUACGCGAAAACUCCGCUGCAAGCUCUGGCCGAACGCCUUGGUGCGAAUAAUGUACGCUAUGCCAAGGGCUGCGAGAUCCUCACCGAACGCAACCCGGAGGCGCCGGUUUUUCCCGGCGACGUGGAUUCGGACGUUGCCGCAAGCCUGACGCGCACUUCACCGAUCAGCCGGGAUCUCUCGCAGAUCGAGGUCGCGUUCGACUGCGCGCGCGAAUCCGAUGUCGCCAUCGUCUUUGUCGGUGACUUGGCUGGUCUCUUCCAGACGGGCACCGUCGGCGAAGGGUCCGAUACGGACAGCCUGCAGUUGCCGGGAGUGCAGGAAGAGCUGUUGAAGCGGAUCAUUGCAACCGGCACGCCGACGGUCAUCGUAAUGACCUCUGGCCGGCCCUACGCCCUCAACGGGCUGGAAGAUCAGGCAGCGGCAGUCUUGAUGGCCUUCCAGCCGGGGCAGGAGGGAGCUGAGGCGCUCGCCGAUCUGCUCACGGGCAAGGCAAACCCGAGCGGACGCCUCGUAGUUUCGAUCCCGAAGAACGUCGGUGCGGUGCCGUAUUACUACAACCACAAACUCAAGAGCGGCGGCACUCCCAUCGCUUAUCAUUUCGGCACCAAGUAUUCUUUCGGCUAUGGUCUGAGCUAUACUCGAUUUGAAUACAGCGAACUCUCAAUCAAACAGGAUCGGGUGGACAUCAACGACACGGUGGCGCUUUCCUUCACUCUCCAGAACUGCGGCGAGCGCGAGGGUUGCGAAGUUGUCCAGGUGUAUGUGCGCGACGUGUAUGCUUCGCUGGUUCGUCCUGUAAAGGAGCUCAAGGCCUUCAAGCGGGUGGCGUUGCAGCCCGAGCAGCGAGCAACGGUCGGCUUCGCCGUCCCCGUCGACAUGCUGAAUUUUACAAACACGGAAAACCAACGCGUCGUCGAAGCCGGUGAAUUUGAGUUCAUGGUUGGCGCGUCCAGCAGCGACAUCAAGUUGAAGGGCAAGAUCGAAGUUGUUGGUGAGAACCGGGUGCUCGACCGGCGCUGGCGCAUGGAAAGCCUUACGAGCGUGAAGGUUCUGCCGGGUUGAUCGUCUGCCUGGAGCAGGCAGAAGACGAGGCCGAGGCCUAAAAAGGCAAAGCCCCGCAGUGUCCCGGGGCGCCCCCAUUAGAAGGGGCUAUCCGUGGUGGCAUAAUUUCAUGAGCAAAUCUUCCAAGUCCCUUGCCAAGACGUGAGAUCCCAUCAAAGCAAUGGCGAGAAGUAGGGAGCCCCGGUCAAAAAUCUAGCUGUCUCAAAACAUUCGAUUAUACCGCUAUAGCGGUAAUUAUUGCAAAUGAAUGGGGCAAUUUCGGCGGCAAUUCAGAGAAAUAACUAUAGAAUCACUGCUAUAGCGGUAUAUUUCAUUGAUUUCUUUCUGGUUAGCCGAUUCAACUCUCUAUAUUACUGCCACGGCGGCAAUAUGAAUCGAAUUUCCGAGAUCAUCAAAACUCAUCGGCGCAAAGCAGGACUAUCCCAGAUCGAACUGG
rnacentral:misc_RNA from 1 species